GGAGGCACAGAAUGGAAGACUGGACCAACUGUUUCUCUUCCUGCUGAUCGAGGCAAGAAGCGGGUCCUGGGCGGGAGAAGGAAGCGCCCUUUCCGGCCCUUGGAACGUGGUCAGGCUCUCCCCAACGUCGAGACAACGGCAAAGACUCACCCUGGGGAUGAUCUUAAAGAUGGAUCCCCCGAAAGGCUGGGGAGUCGGACUUUGCAGAAAACCCAAGUCUGGCCAGUGUGUGAGUCGGGGGAAGAUCUGUGGGAGGCGCGUCACCUUCAUGGCAGAGAGGAGAGCGCUGCCUACGCCAGCUCGGGAAGGACAUGGAAAUGACGAUCUUCUUGAGCCUGCUGCCAACACACCCCUGCGCCCACACAGGGUGGGUUUCUGCUGCUCACGGCCAGUGGAAUAAUUCAGGGGCAUCGCCAGUUCCUUCAAAGGAGUCCACGCGUUCUCACAAACACAGUUCCCUCCCCUUUGCUGAUGUUGUCUUUGGGCUCCUGCCCUGAUGGUUUUUAAAAACCAAGAGAUACGGAUGGAGCCAUGACCCCCUCUGCACGGGCAGUAUCACCACGGCAGCACCAUCUGUCACCAUGGUCACAGGGAAAACCUGUGGCCACUCUAGCCUUGUCCCCUGGUGCUGCAGCGUCCUCGGACCUUGACUCUCCCCUGCAGUCUCCCGGGCUGCUCUGGGGUCAGCUUCUCCAUCACUGAGGCCAGUCUUCACUAGCACUGAACUUGGCAGAGAUGUGCGCAGUCCCAGACUGGCCAAGGCUGACCUUUCUGGCUCAGGGGAGGGAGGGGUCUCUGGACCCUCUUGGCACGGUUAGGCACAGCCUUUUGACUGGAUCCUCAUGCCCUCGGAGUCUUUUCCUUUCCUGGCGUGACACCCAGGGCUGGGGCAGCUCACCCCGGGACCGAAGGCUCUGGGCAGAAGUACCAGCUCGCCUAUAAGGCACGUGCUGAGCACGGGAGAGUUUGAUGUCCAGUCAAGAUGGGGCUAUUAUGGGGCCAGUUUUCUACACGAGGCUGAACAGAUCAGGAUCAAUCACCCAAGCAGAGCCCCCGGUGGCUGCUUGCUCCCACAACCCAAAAUAAUCGCCAUUUCACCAGGCCGGACUCCACCAUCUCAGGACAGAGCUCACCGAGAUUUAAUCUGAAAAUCUGGGUGCUGAAAUCCCCAGACUUUCUCAGGGUCAAGAUGGGCUACCUCCAGGAUGCCUUGGCAGUCACGUCCACAAACAAAAGCUGCCGCCCAGUUAAAAAACCUACUCCAACCUUACCUUCCUGGUAAAAAGUAUUGAAGACCCUGAGCAAACAUGAUGGAUGGCCUCUUAGUAGCACUGUCGCACUGUCAUCCCGUUGUUCAUCGAUUUGCUUGAGCAGGCACCAGUAACGUCUCCAUUGUGAUAUUUGUUGUUACCUUAGUAUUAUUCCCCUGUAUCACUUGUCAUCCCAUUGAUCUUUGAGUGGCUCAAGCGGGAACCAGUAACAUCUCCAUUCAUCCCUGUCGCGUGCUAGUGCAGCCCAAUGGUAUCUGCUCGCUCCAGGAACAGGAAGAACCUCAAACCAUUCAUUCAGGGUUUUGACGAAGGAAGUCUUAGUAUUAUUGCGAACCAUAAUGCACAAAAGGACA